GCCCGCCUAGCUCAAUCGGAUAGAGCGGAGCGUCAGACUCUUAUCGAGUGCGGGUGAACAGGUUCUCUGCGAUCUGAAGGCUGCGAGUUCGACCCUCGCGGUGGGCU
rnacentral:tRNA from 1 species